rnacentral:lncRNA from 1 species
GAUGUGGAGGAUCAAAAUAUCACUCAAUUGCUGUAAACAGUGGACUUGCUGAUUGGUACUCAAGGUCCCAAGUUUAAAACCUAGUUGCUUCAUAUUUUCAGGUAAAUUUAUUUUCGAAACAGACAGUAUAUUAUCUUUCUCUUAAAAAAAUAUAUAUAGUGGUAGCAUAGAUAUUGAAAUCAAUCAACUGCAGUAAACAGUGGUGAUACAAAUAUUGAAAUGGAUAAACUAUAAUAACUUAACAGUGGUGGUACAGAUAUUGGAA